CUCUGUAAAUUAUGUCUAAUAGGGGUCAAAUUGGAAAACUUUAUUCACAAAGAGAUACUAAUCACACACUAAAAUGUAUUGAAAGAGAGAGAG